rfam:Metagenome sequence 3634298_fasta.screen.Contig3420, whole genome shotgun sequence.
UUAAUCGCAAGGUUUGGUCUGGAGGAAGCCGCUAGCAAAUUUGCGAGCUGAUGAACAAGAACAUCAUAUGAGGCGUAGGCUAGAGGUGAGUUGGCACAUGACGACGAAACCACGUGAUCUAAUGGCCACCGUAAAUGAUGCAGCAGUGCAAAGAAAGUUCAUGUU